rnacentral:ncRNA from 1 species
CUCUCUCUCUCUCUCUGGGUGAGUGCGUUGGAAUGUGGAAUGGUGGAAUGCCGACUCGGAUUGCGACACCGUCAAAUUGCGGGAACCCCCUAAAGCCUCAUCUACCAAGUUGGAUUGGAAACAGUCCAAUGGCCGAGUUAACAGCCCUGGGUACGGUAACAACGAUGAGGAUGGAACAAUGGGCAAUCCGCAGCCAAGUCCUAAGUCGUGAACAGCUGGGGUUGUGUCACGAUAUGGAUGCAGUUCAUCGACUAAAUGGUGGUGGGUGGAGAGAUCGCUCUGGUGUUCUCUCUGCUUAAGAUAUAGUCAGGCCCUGGUGAGAGCCAGCC